rnacentral:rRNA from 1 species
GACAGAGGGUGCAAACGUUUGUUCGGAAUUACUGGGCGUAAAGGGCGCGCAGGCGGCCUUAGAAGUCAGAUGUGAAAGCCCCGGGCUCAACCUGGGAAUGGCAUUUGAUACUCUGAGGCUGGAGUACGGGAGAGGAGAGUGGAAUUCCCAGUGUAGAGGUGAAAUUCGUAGAUAUUGGGAAGAACACCGGUGGCGAAGGCGGCUCUCUGGACCGUAACUGACGCUGAGGCGCGAAAGCGUGGGGAGCAAACAGG